CCUACGGGAGGCAGCAGUAGGGAAUAUUGCGCAAUGGACGAAAGCCUGACGCAGCGACGCCGCGUGAGGGAUGAAGGUCUUCGGAUCGUAAACCUCUGUCAGCAGAGAAGAACGGUCACUGUGCUAAUCAGCAGUGCAUUGACGGUACCUGCCAAGAAAGCACCGGCUAACUACGUGCCAGCAGCCGCGGUAAUACGGAGGGGGCGAGCGUUGAUCGGAAUUACUGGGCGUAAAGCGCUCGUAGGCGGUAUGUCAAGUCAAGGGUGAAAGCCCCGCGCUCAACGUGGGAACGUCCUUUGAAACUGGAGAACUGGAGUGUGUGAGAGGAUAGUGGAAUUCCAGGUGUAGGAGUGAAAUCCGUAGAUAUCUGGAGGAACAUCAGUGGCGAAGGCGACUAUCUGGCACAUAACUGACGCUGAGGAGCGAAAGCGUGGGUAGCAAACAGGAUUAGAUACCCUAGUAUUC
rnacentral:rRNA from 1 species